rnacentral:lncRNA from 1 species
GGACUUUUGCCCGUGCUAACGCCCGAGACAUUAAAAAUGGAGAAGCUAAUAUAUUACAAAGAGAAAUUACCGGGCUUUUCUUAAGGUUAUGGUGAGUGAUAAUCGCAGACUUGACAUGAAUUUUGGUUCUUAUCCGUUGUGUGUUUUAUUUCAGUUCAUGUGUUAUGACUGUUAUUUGCUUGAGAAAUUUUUUCAAUUAGACUGUG